rnacentral:rRNA from 1 species
UACGUAGGGUGCGAGCGUUGUCCGGAAUUAUUGGGCGUAAAGAGCUCGUAGGCGGUUUGUCGCGUCGACUGUGAAAACCUACAGCUUAACUGUGGGCUUGCAGUCGAUACGGGCAGACUUGAGUUCGGUAGGGGAGACUGGAAUUCCUGGUGUAGCGGUGAAAUGCGCAGAUAUCAGGAGGAACACCGGUGGCGAAGGCGGGUCUCUGGGCCGAUACUGACGCUGAUGCACGAAAGCUAGGGGAGCAAACAGG